GGGGUUGUAGCUCAGUGGUAGAGCGCUUACCUAGCAUGUGUGAGGCACUGGGUUGAAAUCCCAGCACCA
rnacentral:tRNA from 1 species